rnacentral:lncRNA from 1 species
CUCCAGUUCAGAUCCUGACCCUGGUGGAUGGGUGUGUGUGGCCCAUAAAUCAACUGGACGCACUUCCCUUUGUUUGCACACUGCCACCGACACAGGCUUGCUAUGAAGAAGAAGAAAUUUUGCUCAGAGGAAACUAGAAAACCUGAACGUGUACACAAUGCUGACAUAUUUUGUUGCUUUCACCCCUCUUAAGAAUUUCUACCAUUCCUUUGAGAAGUUGAUUAUUUUUAAAACUGUGUAUCAUUUUGUCUUCUUGGGCAAAUUGCACAGUCAAUGAUAUGUUUCACCGAGUAUGUAAAUCCCUUUUACAUAUUUCAAAAUAAUAUCUAAUUAAAAUGUCAAGGUUAUAGCUCAUGAGGCUAGAGUGGACAGGGCUCCACCCCCUCCCUCAGCCUCUCAAAGUAACAUUUAAAGUAUGUCCUAUAAUUAGGAGCAAUUAUAAAUUCCAAUUAAAAAGAAACCUGCAUAACUCUGACAGUAUUUUUCUUUGAUGUUACUGGCUUUAAUUUAUGUGCUUGUUCCACCAAAUUGUCUUCACUUCCUCAGAUAUGUUCUCAGACAGAAAAGGCUUCCAAAACUGCAAAGAGAAAAACAGGUCAAAUCUGAGAAAAGUAGUGAAGUUCAUUAAAAAGGGUUAUUGCAUCUAUAACUUCUGGACUUGGUGCUCAUUGAUUAGAGAUUAAACAUCAUCCUUUGUACUACUCAGAUUGGGAUUUUUAAUUAGGAUGUCAUUAUUAC